rnacentral:lncRNA from 10 species
GUCUCACUCUGUCACACAGGCUGGAGUGCAGUGGCAUGAUUUUGGCUCUCUGCAACCUCCGCCUCCUGGGUUCAAGCGAUUCUCCUGCCUCAGCCUCCUAAGUAGCUGGGAUUACAGGCGCCUGCCUCCACACCCAGCUAAUUUUUCUGUAUUUUUAGUAGAGACGGGGUUUCACCAUAUUGGCCAGUCUGGUCUCGAACUCUUGACCUCGGGUGAUCCGCCCACCUUGGCCUCCCAAAGUGCUGGGAUUAUAGGCAUGCACCACCGCUCCCAGCCAGCAGAGUAAACUUUCUUGAAUGAAUUUUCUUACUAUUUAAUUUAUUUAAUUAUUUUAUUUUAUUUUAUGAUACAUGCAGUCUUACUCUGUUGCCCAGGCUGGAGUACUAUGGCACCAUCAUAACUCCCAGCGGCUUUGAACUCCUGGGCUCAAGCGAUCCUCCUGAGUAGCUGGAACCACAGCUGCAUGCCACCACCCCUGACUUUGAUUUAUUUCUGCUGGCCCAUUUCUCUGCCUCACAAUGGUAGAGAAAUGCCUGAGUCACAGAUAGGCUAGGUGACCAGGGAAGCUUGGAAGAAACCCCACAGGCCACCCAAGCUCCCAGGCUACCAUUUGGAGAUCGUUGCUUCGGAGGAAUCCCGGGUCAGGCUGCUGGAAUCUGGACUCACACUUCCGAAACCUCAGUGUUCUGAUCGAUGCUUUACAAGCUGGCUUUGCCCACCUCUCCCAUGGAACACCCUUCCUCCACUGGUCUUUUGAAAUUAUUGCUGUUGGUCUGAUUUUGCUGCCUCUGCUACCAGACGGUCUGAAAGCAAGAAACACCCCAUGGGCUGACAGCCCCCACCAGGGAAAGGACAGCUGUAUGCAGCAUCUUCCUCCUUAACUGGGCACAGAUCCCAGGGGCUGGAGAAGGAGUGUUGACACCUAGGGGCUGGCCACACUGAGAUGCCAAACUCCCCAACUUCUGGGAGGAAAUGCAUAUAAUGGAUACAGGCUUUGGCGAAAGGCUGUCCCCGAUGGGAGACAGCUUGGGGGGUUCCGGAGGCAGGAGGGAGAUGAGCUCCGUACUGCAGAUCUUCAGGCAAUCUGAGGAAAAGUAGGAGAAUUUAAAGAGUCGUGAGACAACCUCCCAGGGAGUUCCCAAGACCAGCCUAGGGCAAAACCGGGGAUGAGGGCUCAGCCCAGGCUCGGUGAACAGCUACCCCUGGCAGGUAUAAAUAACGAAACGCUGUAACUACUGACAGAACCACACCAUUCGAAGGGUGCUUGUGAAUUCUCUUUGUUUUCUCCUCUGCACCUGUGGAGUGCCCGCUAUGUGUGUCCGCACCUGCCAGGGAAGCUGAGAGGCCUGGCUGGCUGCUUCGGGUUUGAGCGAGGACAGCAGCUUGGUUCUGAGUUAAGCAGACUGCAUCAGAGGUAGCCAAGUAUUGAGGCUUCUGCUGGGCCCCGCACCGUGUUCCCCAGCCAGUCAGGGCUACCGGGGACCCCUUUGUCCACACUGGGCACUGGGCUGAGUUGGGCUUCUGCCCGAGAGCCAUUCAUGAAGGUGUGUAACACACAAGGCCCAGUCAGGAAAAGAGAAACCACUCUGGGUAUUUCAGAGUGAACUUGUUGGUUACCCAGGUAUAGUAGGGAGUUAAGAAACAGAAAGGGUAAAAUGAGGCAAGCCAGAGAUUAGCAACGCAGAG